GACGAACGCUGGCGGCGUGCUUAACACAUGCAAGUCGAACGGAAAGGCCCUGCUUGCAGGGUACUCGAGUGGCGAACGGGUGAGUAACACGUGGGUGAUCUGCCCUGCACUUCGGGAUAAGCCUGGGAAACUGGGUCUAAUACCGGAUAGGAGCCAUCUUUAGUGUGAUGGUUGGAAAGUUUUUUCGGUGUAGGAUGAGCUCGCGGCCUAUCAGCUUGUUGGUGGGGUAAUGGCCUACCAAGGCGGCGACGGGUAGCCGGCCUGGGAGGGUGGACGGCCACAUUGGGGCUGAGAUACGGCCCAGACUCCUACGGGAGGCAGCAGUGGGGAAUAUUGCACAAUGGGCGCAAGCCUGAUGCAGCGACGCCGCGUGGGGGAUGACGGCCUUCGGGUUGUAAACUCCUUUCGCUAGGGACGAAGCUUUUUGUGACGGUACCUAGAUAAGAAGCACCGGCUAACUACGUG
rnacentral:rRNA from 1 species